CCGCAGUAGUCAUAUGCUUGUCUCAAAGAUUAAGCCAUGCAUGUCUAAGUACAUGCCGUAUUAAGGCGAAACCGCGAAUGGCUCAUUAAAUCAGUUAUGGUUCCUUGGAUCGUACUUGACUACUUGGAUAACUGUGGCAAUUCUAGAGCUAAUACAUGCAGCAGAGCUCCGACCUUCGGGAACGAGCGCUUUUAUUAGACCAAAACCAAUCGGACCUCGGUCCGUUGAACGUGGUGACUCUGUAUAACUUUGGGCUGAUCGCACGGGCUCGUCCCGGCGACGUAUCCUUCAAGUGUCUGCCUUAUCAACUGUCGAUGGUAGGCCAUGCGCCUACCAUGGUCGUAACGGGUGACGGGGAAUCAGGGUUCGAUUCCGGAGAGGGAGCCUGAGAAACGGCUACCACAUCCAAGGAAGGCAGCAGGCGCGCAAAUUACCCAAUCCCAGCUCGGGGAGGUAGUGACGAAAAAUAACAAUACGGGACUCUUUUGAGACCCCGUAAUUGGAAUGAGUACACUCUAAAUCCUUUAGCGAUUAUCAAUUGGAGGGCAAGCCUAGUGCCAGCAGCCGCGGUAAUUCUAGCUCCAAUAGCGUAUAUUAAAGUUGUUGCGGUUAAAAAGCUCGUAGUUGGAUCUCAGUUCCAGACGGGCGGUCCCCCUAACGGAGGUCACUGCCCGUUCUGAACAGGCCAGUCGGUUUCUCUUGAUGAUCUUCACCGGUUGUCUCGAGUGACCGGCAAGUUUACUUUGAAAAAAUUAGAGUGCUCAAAGCAGGCGCGACGCCUGAACAAUGGUGCAUGGAAUAAUGGAAUAGGACCUCGGUUCUAUUUUGUUGGUUUUCGGAACACGAGGUAAUGAUUAAGAGGGACAGACGGGGGCAUUCGUAUUGCGACGCUAGAGGUGAAAUUCUUGGACCGUCGCAAGACGACUAUGAGAA
rnacentral:rRNA from 1 species